GUUUGUCUCUGGAUCCUUUGGUCCUGUGUCGUUAGGAACAAGAGAGCUCUUAUCAGAGUCCUAGGAGGAGGAGCCUCAGCCCAGAGCCUAGGACAGAGGGAGGAGGCUCAUAGGACAGACCCAGACCCUAAGGCAGAGGGAAGAGGCUCACAGGACAAGUGGGAAUAUUGCACUUCCAGGAACUCAGGCAAGUUGAAGACCAGCUAGACCGCCCCAGGGAAAGCCAAGACCAACCUGUGUGGCAGACUGCAUUCGCAGACAGGGAAGCACAGAAAGGUCCAAGCGGCCAAGAAUUCACAACAUUCAGAAAAAUCAUUUAUCCAAGCACAGACUUCGUUUCUAUAAGACAAAGACUCUCUAAAUAUUACUCGUGGGGAAGGUGUUCAAAGUGUAAUUUAAACUUUCUCUACAUAAGUAAAGACUCUUUAGUUUUUU